rnacentral:rRNA from 1 species
AGGGGAAUAUUGCACAAUGGACGGAAGUUUUAUGCAGCGACGACGCGCGGAUGGUGUAGGCCUUCGGGGUGUGAACUCCUUUUUCUCGCGAAAAAGGCACAGUUUUGGCUGUGUCGAUGGUAGUGGGGGAAGAAGCGUUGGCUAACUACGUGCCAGCAGCCGCGGUAAUACGUAGGGCGCGAGCGUUGUCCGGAUUUAUUGGGCGUAAAGAGCUCGUAGUGGGUUCGUCGCGUCUGUCGUGAAAGCCAGCAGCUUAACUGUUGGUCUGCGGUGGGUACCGGCGGGCUUGGGUGCGGUAGGUGUGACUGGAAUUCCUGGUGUAGCGGUGGAAUGCGCAGAUAUCAGGAGAAGCGCCGAUGGCGAAGGCAGGUCACUAGGCCGUUACUGAAACUGAGGAGCGAAAGCGUGGGGAGCGAACAGG